rnacentral:rRNA from 1 species
CUACGGGGGGCACCAGUGAGGAAUAUUGCACAAUGGGGGGAACCCUGAUGCAGCAACGCCGCGUGGAGGAUGACGCAUUUCGGUGUGUAAACUCCUUUUAUAUGUCAAGAAAAUGACGGUAGCAUAUGAAUAAGCGCCGGCUAACUCCGUGCCAGCAGCCGCGGUAAUACGGAGGGCGCGAGCGUUACUCGGAAUCACUGGGCGUAAAGGACGCGUAGGCGGGUUGAAAAGUCAGGUGUGAAAGCCUACAGCUUAACUGUAGAACUGCACUUGAAACUCUCAACCUAGAGUAUGGGAGGGGAGAUGGAAUUGGUGGUGUAGGGGUAAAAUCCGUAGAUAUCACUAGGAAUACCGAAAGCGAAGGCGAUCUGCUAGAACAUUACUGACGCUAAGGCGUGAAAGCGUGGGGAGCAAACAGGAUUAGAUACCCCCGUAGUC